AUUGAACGCUGGCGGAAUGCUUUACACAUGCAAGUCGAGCGGCAGCGCGGUCUUCGGACUGGCGGCGAGCGGCGAACGGGUGAGUAAUGCAUCGGAACAUGUCCAUGUCGUGGGGGAUAGCCCGCCGAAAGGCGGAUUAAUACCGCAUACGCCCGAGAGGGGAAAGCGGGGGACCGGAAGGCCUCGCGCGAUUUGGUCGGCCGAUGUCCGAUUAGCUAGUUGGUGGGGUAAAGGCUUACCAAGGCGAUGAUCGGUAGCUGGUCUGAGAGGAUGAUCAGCCACACUGGGACUGAGACACGGCCCAGACUCCUACGGGAGGCAGCAGUGGGGAAUUUUGGACAAUGGGGGCAACCCUGAUCCAGCCAUUCCGCGUGAGUGAAGAAGGCCUUCGGGUUGUAAAGCUCUUUUGUCCGGAGCGAAACGGGAGCGGUGAAUAUCCGCUCUCACUGACGGUACCGGAAGAAUAAGCACCGGCUAACUACGUGCCAGCAGCCGCCGUAAGAC
rnacentral:rRNA from 1 species